rnacentral:rRNA from 1 species
UACAGAGGGUGCGAGCGUUAAUCGGAAUUACUGGGCGUAAAGCGUGCGUAGACGGUUAUUUAAGUCGGGUGUGAAAGCCCCGGGCUCAACCUGGGAAUUGCAUUCGAGACUGAAUAGCUAGGGUACGGUAGAGGGAAGUGGAAUUUCCGGUGUAGCGGUGAAAUGCGUAGAUAUCGUUUGGAACGCCAAAGGUGAAAACAGGUAGCUGGGGAUGUGCUGACACUGAGACACGAAAGCCAGGGGAGCAAACGGG